GAGGGUUUAGCUUAAGUGGUAGAGCACAUGCUCAGCAUGCGUGAAGUCCUGGGUUCAAUCCCCAGUACCUGCA
rnacentral:tRNA from 1 species